GACGCUGGGCUCCACUGCGAGGACUGACCAGGACCGUGGGCCGCAGGGACCGACCGCGGAAACCGAGACUCGCAGGCUCAAGCGCGGAGCUCGCUAAAGCCGGGAGAUGCGGCAGUGAACCCAGGCGACCGACGCGGAAAGAACGUGGGGAGUCUGGGCAUCAGGAUUGCCGGGCUGAAGGAGAGACCAGAUACGAUAUCCAACCCCUCCGUUUUCCAGCUCAGGAAUCCGAUAUAGAGAAGCUGAGAAAUAAAUUAUGUUGCUGAGGCUGAAGAUAAGGCACAGAAGUGUGGCUCCUGCUAUCUGAGGGAAAGACAGGACCCUGGAGUUGGCCAGGAGCCAUUCCUUCCGCAGAGUCUUGUCCAGAAGUAUGGCUUCCAUCUGCAUGUGUGUGGCCAGGAUCACACACACAUGGAACAGCUGGUGACUGUGACC